rnacentral:rRNA from 1 species
UACAGAGAGUGCAAACGUUGUUCGGAAUUACUGGGCUUAAAGCGCGCGUAGGCGGCAUCGUAAGUGUCUGGUGAAAUCCCACGGCUCACCCGUGGAACUGCCGGGCAUACUGCGGUGCUAGAGUGUGGUAGGGGAGAGCGGAACUCCUGGUGGAGCGGUGAAAUGCGUAGAUAUCAGGAGGAACACCGGUGGCGAAGGCGGCUCUCUGGUCCAUAACUGACGCUGAGGUGCGAAAGCUAGGGGAGCAAACGGGAUUAGAUACCCCGGUAGUCCUAGCUGUAAACGAUGGGCACUAGCUUGGGGUCUCCCUGUGUGAUCCCAGGUGAAGCAAAAGUGAUAAGUGCCCCGCCUGGGGAGUAUGGUCGCAAGGCUG